GGAUUAGGCAUGCAAGUCGUACGAGAAAGGUUUCUUCGGAGACCGAGUAAAGUGGCGAACGGGUGAGUAAUGCAUAGACAACUUGCCCCUGAGAUGGGAAUAACGUCUCGAAAGGGACGCUAAUGCCCAAUGUCGUCCGCGGCUGGAGGGCUGCGGAUGAAAGGAGGCCUCUGACUCAAGCUUCCGCUCAGGGAGAGGUUUAUGUCCUAUUAGCUUGUUGGUGAGGUAACGGCUCACCAAGGCUGCGAUGGGUAGCCGACCUGAGAGGGUGACCGGCCACAUUGGGACUGAGACACUGCCCAAACUCCUACGGGAGGCUGCAGUCGAGAAUCUUCCGCAAUGCGCGCAAGCGUGACGGAGCGACGCCGCGUGGGUGAUGAAGGCCUUCGGGUUGUAAAGCCCUGUCAGUUGCUAGGAAUUGCAGGUGGUAAAUAGUCAUCUGUUUGACCAUGCAUCAAAGGAAGCACCGGCUAAAUACGUGCCAGCAGCCGCGGUAAUACGUAUGGUGCAAACGUUGUUCGGAAUCACUGGGCCUAAAGAGCGCGUAGGCGGUUGGAAUAGUCAGACGUGAAAUCCCUCGGCUCAACCGGGGAACUGCGUCUGAAACUGUCCAGCUAGAGUGCAGGAGGGGAGAGUGGAAUUCCUGGUGGAGCGGUGAAAUGCGUAGAUAUCAGGAGGAACGCCGGUGGCGAAAGCGACUCUCUGGCCUGCUACUGACGCUGAGGCGCGAAAGCUAGGGGAGCAAACGGGAUUAGAUACCCCGGUAGUCCUAGCCCUAAACGAUGGGCACUAAGUAGAGGGGUUUU
rnacentral:rRNA from 1 species